UACGUAGGGUGCAAGCGUUGUCCGGAAUUAUUGGGCGUAAAGGGUGCGCAGGCGGACUGGUAAGUCAGUGGUGAAAUCUCGUCGCUUAACGACGAAACUGCCUUUGAUACUAUCAGUCUUGAAUCCGGUAGAGAUCUGUGGAAUUCCGAGUGUAGCAGUGAAAUGUGUAGAUAUUCGGAAGAACACCAGUGGCGAAGGCAGCAGAUUGGGCCGGUAUUGACGCUCAGGCACGAAAGCAUGGGGAUCAAACAGG
rnacentral:rRNA from 1 species